rnacentral:lncRNA from 1 species
UUUCUUCUGAGCCGGAUGGGGUGGGGGGAGGGGGCUGUCGAGUACAUCCUUGGAUCGGUCCGUUAAGUUAGAGAAUUAACCGUGCAUAGUUCUUAGAGAAAGUCCUAUAACUUCACAUGGAUUAAUAAUACUUUAGUUACUCAAGUUAAUUAAUCGAUAAUUGAAUGUUGAUGAAACUAUAAGCAUUUUUUAAUUAAUUUUUGAUUACUUGCUGGGGUC